CCUACGGGCGGCAGCAGUCGAGAAUCAUUCACAAUGGGGGAAACCCUGAUGGUGCGACGCCGCGUGGGGGAAUGAAGGUCUUCGGAUUGUAAACCCCUGUCAUGUGGGAGCAAAUUAAAAAGAUAGUACCACAAGAGGAAGAGACGGCUAACUCUGUGCCAGCAGCCGCGGUAAUACAGAGGUCUCAAGCGUUGUUCGGAAUCACUGGGCGUAAGGCGUGCGUAGGCUGUUUCGUAAGUCGUGUGUGAAAGGCGCGGGCUCAACCCGCGGACGGCACCUGAUACUGCGAGACUAGAGUAAUGGAGGGGGAACCGGAAUUCUCGGUGUAGCAGUGAAAUGCGUAGAUAUCGAGAGGAACACUCGUGGCGAAGGCGGGUUCCUGGACAUUAACUGACGCUGAGGCACGAAGGCCAGGGGAGCGAAAGGGAUUAGAUACCCCAGUAGUC
rnacentral:rRNA from 1 species